CUCUUCAUUGUUUAGAGAAAAUUAAUCUCGACAUAGAUGUUGAUGCUUGGUAGAUCUCUCAGUUUUUCAUCUUUCACGAAUUUGAAAUGUCAAAUUUCAUUUUCCCAUCCAUGAUUGUUAGGAUAGAAUAGAUUCUUGAGUUUCUAGGCUUGAUUAAUUUCUAAUUUUUGUUCUCUGUAUUUGACUGAAGCUUGCUUAUGUCAUAUGUCUAUAAGGAUUCUCUAUCCUAUCCUCUUCCCUUUCAUUUGUCAGCAUUUGAUUGCAAGGUCUAUGAGAUAAGAAUUUCUAUUUGGCAUUUGCUCUAAUUGUAAAGUAGCAUUUGUUUUUAAAGGAAAAUGUAACUUUUUCUUACUUUGCCGCAUGAAACUUAACUGCAUGGAGAUGGAGGAUGGGAGGGCAUGUUGGAACCAUCUUACCUCAUUUUCUUUGUUGCAAGUUUUGAUAAAAAUCUAAAAUUUCCUUUUGCAGAAACGACGGGAGGAAAUGGAAAGG
rnacentral:misc_RNA from 1 species